GGUUCAGAAUGCAAUACGUAUUUAAAUUUGAAUGUGAGCUCUUAUUAUUAGGGUAGAGGUUUCUCCAGCAUGCAUUGCAAUGAUGAUACCAGCCAUCCCCCCACCUUCCCUCUAGCUAUUCUUCUCGAUUCCCUCAUUUUGUGCCCCCAUAGUUAGUUAGCUCUCUCCAUCCUCACAUCUCGGGCCUCCAUUGCCAGUUCUCCUCAUCGUGUGCCCUCCACAUGCCAACAUUACCAAUCCUUAUUCCCACUCCAACUGUGCAAGAUGUGUCCAUUCCCAUAUUUAAUGCAACCACAGCUAGUACAAGUACUUGCAAAGGGAGGCCAGUGAUAGGCUAAUGCAGAAAAAUGAAGUGUUCUAUCGAAUGAAGGAGUUAAAGGUACUGUUAAUUCCAAAGUGUAUUUUACCUCUUCGGUUCAACUGUGC